GCCCGCGGCCUAUCAGCUUGUUGGUGGGGUAAUGGCCUACCAAGGCGACGACGGGUAGCCGGCCUGAGAGGGUGACCGGCCACACUGGGACUGAGAUACGGCCCAGACUCCUACGGGAGGCAGCAGUGGGGAAUAUUGCACAAUGGGCGCAAGCCUGAUGCAGCGACGCCGCGUGAGGGAUGACGGCCUUCGGGUUGUAAACCUCUUUCAGUAGGGACGAAGCGCAAGUGACGGUACCUAUAGAAGAAGGACCGGCCAACUACGUGCCAGCAGCCGCGGUAAUACGUAGGGUCCGAGCGUUGUCCGGAAUUACUGGGCGUAAAGAGCUCGUAGGUGGUUUGUCGCAUUGUUCGUGAAAACUCACAGCUCAACUGUGGGCGUGCGGGCGAUACGGGCAGACUAGAGUACUGCAGGGGAGACUGGAAUUCCUGGUGUAGCGGUGGAAUGCGCAGAUAUCAGGAGGAACACCGGUGGCGAAGGCGGGUCUCUGGGCAGUAACUGACGCUGAGGAGCGAAAGCGUGGGGAGCGAACAGGAUUAGAUACCCUGGUAGUCCACGCCGUAAACGGUGGGUACUAGGUGUGGGUUUCCUUCCUUGGGAUCCGUGCCGUAGCUAACGCAUUAAGUACCCCGCCUGGGGAGUACGGCCGCAAGGCUAAAACUCAAAGAAAUUGACGGGGGCCCGCACAAGCGGCGGAGCAUGUGGAUUAAUUCGAUGCAACGCGAAGAACCUUACCUGGGUUUGACAUGCACAGGACGUGCCUAGAGAUAGGUAUUCCCUUGUGGUCUGUGUGCAGGUGGUGCAUGGCUGUCGUCAGCUCGUGUCGUGAGAUGUUGGGUUAAGUCCCGCAACGAGCGCAACCCCUAUCUUAUGUCGCCAGCGGGUUAUGCCGGGGACUCAUAAGAGACUGCCGGGGUCAACUCGGAGGAAGGUGGGGAUGACGUCAAAUCAUCAUGCCCCUUAUGUCUUGGGCUUCACGCAUGCUACAAUGGCCGGUACAAAGGGCUGCGAAACCGUGAGGUGGAGCGAAUCCCAAAAAGCCGGUCUCAGUUCGGAUUGGGGUCUGCAACUCGACCCCAUGAAGUCGGAGUCGCUAGUAAUCGCAGAUCAGCAACGCUGCGGUGAAUACGUUCCCGGGCCUUGUACACACCG
rnacentral:rRNA from 1 species